GCAGUCGAACGCGUCUUGGUUAUUGAUGUUAGAUGCUUGCAUUUAACUGAUUUAAUAUUGAGACGAGUGGCGAACUGGUGAGUAACACGUGGGUAACCUGCCCUUGAAGUAGGGGAUAACACUUGGAAACAGGUGCUAAUACCGUAUAACAACCAAAACCACCUGGUUUUGGUUUAAAAGAUGGCUUCGGCUAUCACUUUAGGAUGGACCCGCGGCGUAUUAGCUUGUUGGUAAGGUAACGGCCUACCAAGGCAAUGAUACGUAGCCGACCUGAGAGGGUAAUCGGCCACAUUGGGACUGAGACACGGCCCAAACUCCUACGGGAGGCAGCAGUAGGGAAUCUUCCACAAUGGACGAAAGUCUGAUGGAGCAACGCCGCGUGAGUGAUGAAGGGUUUCGGCUCGUAAAACUCUGUUGUUGGAGAAGAACAGGUGUGAGAGUAACUGUUCACAUCUUGACGGUAUCCAACCAGAAAGCCACGGCUAACUACGUGCCAGCAGCCGCGGUAAUACGUAGGUGGCAAGCGUUGUCCGGAUUUAUUGGGCGUAAAGCGAGCGCAGGCGGUUUCUUAGGUCUGAUGUGAAAGCCUUCGGCUUAACCGGAGAAGUGCAUCGGAAACCAGGAGACUUGAGUGCAGAAGAGGACAGUGGAACUCCAUGUGUAGCGGUGAAAUGCGUAGAUAUAUGGAAGAACACCAGUGGCGAAGGCGGCUGUCUGGUCUGUAACUGACGCUGAGGCCCGAAAGCAUGGGUAGCGAACAGGAUUAGAUACCCUGGUAGUCCAUGCCGUAAACGAUGAGUGCUAAGUGUUGGAGGGUUUCCGCCCUUCAGUGCUGCAGCUAACGCAUUAAGCACUCCGCCUGGGGAG
rnacentral:rRNA from 1 species